rnacentral:rRNA from 1 species
UGCAAGUCGACGAUGAGCCAGACUUCUGGGUGGGGAUUAGUGGCGAACGGGUGAGUAACACGUGGGCAAUCUGCCCUGCACUCUGGGACAAGCCCUGGAAACGGGGUCUAAUACCGGAUACUGACCUGCCGAGGCAUCUCGGCGGGUCAAAAGCUCCGGCGGUGCAGGAUGAGCCCGCGGCCUAUCAGCUUGUUGGUGAGGUAAUGGCUCACCAAGGCGACGACGGGUAGCCGGCCUGAGAGGGCGACCGGCCACACUGGGAAUGAGACACGGCCCAGACUCCUACGGGAGGCAGCAGUGGGGAAUAUUGCACAAUGGGCGCAAGCCUGAUGCAGCGACGCCGCGUGAGGGAUGACGGCCUUCGGGUUGUAAACCUCUUUCAGCAGGGAAGAAGCGAGAGUGACGGUACCUGCAGAAGAAGCGCCGGCUAACUACGUGCCAGCAGCCGCGGUAAUACGUAGGGCGCAAGCGUUGUCCGGAAUUAUUGGGCGUAAAGAGCUCGUAGGCGGCUUGUCGCGUCGGUUGUGAAAGCCCGGGGCUUAACCCCGGGUCUGCAGUCGAUACGGGCAGGCUAGAGUUCGGUAGGGGAGAUCGGAAUUCCUGGUGUAGCGGUGAAAUGCGCAGAUAUCAGGAGGAACACCGGUGGCGAAGGCGGAUCUCUGGGCCGAUACUGACGCUGAGGAGCGAAAGCGUGGGGAGCGAACAGGAUUAGAUACCCUGGUAGUCCACGCCGUAAACGGUGGGCACUAGGUGUGGGCAACAUUCCACGUUGUCCGUGCCGCAGCUAACGCAUUAAGUG